rnacentral:lncRNA from 1 species
GCUCUGGAGAGCUGCCUAGAGCACUGGGCCCAGUUGUGGCCCUUUGAGUUUUGACUUUGGUCAUUUUCGUGCUGGCCGGAGGUCCCUCGGGGUCCCCUACCUCAUGGUGGCCAGUGGGUUCUGGCCACCCCGCAGUACUCUGGGCAUCCUGGGGACACUGGAUUAAUAGGCAGUUUGAAACCUUGACGUCUGGCCUGCUUGUGGAAGCCACAUGUCUGUGUAGGAAAUGGGUGUAUAUUCAAGGCCACGUGUGUCCAGGUAGCGGGGAAGGAGUGAGGUGAGGGCUGUGCGGAGGAGCCACACAGGCCUGUGUCUGAGUGUGUAACCACCACCGUGCUGCUCUGCCCCACCCGAGUCACCCCGCCAGGCUCAGCACUCCUCCUAGGGGUGCCAGCCUCCACUUCACAAAAAUAUUCCUGUGGGAACUGCUAUUAGCCCUGGAAGCGCAUUCUUUUUCAUCUCCUUGGUGACAAUCAACUCUCAUCUUUCAGGGCUGACACAUCUUUAUAAGCAGCCAGAAUCAAGUCUGUGGAAUAAGGCAGGUGGGGCAGGAGGUGGUCGGGCUGGAAAGCACUGUGGAGGGUUCAGAGGGAUGAGAUUACCGUGGCGCCUCACCUGGCUCCGACAGAGCCCUGUGUGUUGAGUGUGCGCAGCGCAUGUGUACGUGUGUGUGUCUCAGAAAGGGCAGACGGAUGGGGCAGGCCUGCGGAGGACGCCAGGCCCAUGGAUGGCUGAGUUCGUGUUAGCAGGGGUCAGGGGGCCAAGCACCAUGUGCUCUCUCUUAUACGUGUGGAAAGCAGGCUAGGCCAGCUGGCCUUGCUCUGCCCUCCAGGACGAAAGGGGAAAGAAUUAGGGUUGAUGAUGGGUGAUUUCCAAAGCACAAGAUUUCACUGAGAAGAAGGUAGGGGAUUCACAGCAGGUGAGUUUCUGGUGGAUUUGCUCAAGAGGGCAUGACCUGAAACCCCCUGUGGACAGAGACACCAGAGAGAGAGCCACGUGUAGCCUGGUGUAAUGUCAUUUCCUAGGGACUGAGGGCUCCAGGGGUCCCGGGAAGACCUGGGGUCUAGGAGCCCAGACACCUGCCCAGCUCUGACCCAGGCAGAUGGGAAAGCCACCAUGGUCUCUCUGGCAAAGGACAAGGGAGCUCUGGAAGCUCUCACGCCAGCAGUGACACGUGCAGCCCAGAAGCACACCCAUUGCCUCUGCUCACAGCUCACUGGCCAGAGCUCAUCACCUGGCCUGCUUCACCACGAGGGGACCAGGAAGUGUCUGGAAGGCCAAGAGCCUGAAAUAUGCAGUGAACGGCCCUAAUGACAGCCACACCACUUACCAGCUCAGAGACCGUGGGCAAGUUACCUUCCUCUGCCUCUGCUCCCUUGUCUAGGGCGUGGAGAUGAGGUGUCCUUCCUAUUCACAGGGUUGCUGCGAGGACAGAGUGAGUUGGCACACACAAGCACAGAGCGCCCUGCUUGGCUCCGCUGAAAGAAAGUUCCUUCUGGCUGAGAAAUGACUUGCCGUCCCGCUGAGGCUCCAGUCUGAUAAGGCAGCCUGUCUGGCCAACUGAGACCUGGAUGUCAUCCCUGCCCACCCACUGUCAGGCGUUGUCAUUUCAGCAGAGACUUACACCUGAGACUGAUUGGGACACCCGGAGACCACUCACGUAUGUACCUGCCCUGGCUUUGACCCCAGGCUCUUGAGAGCCUAGCUCCCAUCCGCAGAGCCAGACCCCCAAGGCAGCAGGGCUGGCCCUAUUUCUUCCUGAGCAGAAGCUAAUGGCAUCUCCAGUCAGCUCUCCACACAGCAGGGAAGGGGCUUUCCAUACCUUCGAAGGAAGGGCCUGUUGAGCCUGCGUUGCUGAGGGGCUAGACGGGGCCCAUGGCGGAGGGCUGCCUUCAAAACAGCUGGGUGCAGAAAUUAUAGCUUCCUAGUGAUGAUCGGCCCCACUUUGCGUGGCAACACAAUAUGUUCCUAAUGACUGAAUUGUUUAUUUAAUAAAGAAAUCACAACCAUUUGGAGGUUUAAAUAUAGCCUCUCAGAAACCAAGUGAGCUCAGCUCUUGGUGGCUGCGUGGUGCUGGCACCGGCCCAGUCUCUGCACCGCACGAAGCCUUUAGCAAUCGCUUGAAAAAAAAUAUUUUGCAAGAUCUCUUGAGUUUCACUAACCCUGCUGUAGUUUCUUGAGUCUCUACUUGGCUUUCAUAGAAGAAGCCAGUUAUGUAAAAGUCAGAAACUACCUGCAGGUUCUGAAUCAAAUGGGGAGGGUCAAAGGUGGCUCUCCGCCCACCCGGGGGUUGCAGGUAAGGCAAAGUGGGAGGGGACCCCUUUCCCCCCACUCUGUCUUGGAACUCCAGGGAAUGGCAAGGAUGGGUCCCUGGAGUGGUUUCCUGCAGCCUGCAAUACAGACUGUCCCAUUCGAGAACCUUUUAGCUCAAAACAGCACGGCCAGCAAGGCCCUAGGACAUUCCAAGCAAAACUGCUCUUCUCCUGCCUUCUCGGGGGAGUUAGUUAGGGCUCUGUCUCUGAGGCUCUGGGUAAAACCCAGGCUCUGACUUGCAGGGGAGUUCUUCGGCCUGAAGCCAUAUUCCUCAAACUCCCCGAAAACUCCAUCCUUCCCCUGCCUCCCCACACGCCCACCUCCCACAGCCCAGGCCACCAAUCAAGACUGCGAGACGGCAUAGUGUACAAGAGUUUAUUUAAUGAUAUCUGAAUUUAGUUCUAUCAUGUGGGGCCCACAUUACAAGUUCCAUCUGGGUCCAUUACAACUCUAACCAACCCCCCACCCCCCCCCA